rnacentral:tRNA from 2 species
CAGAGAAUAGUUUAUGUAAAAUGUUAACUUUGGAAGUUAAGGAAGAAUAAUCUAAUUUUUCUCUGA